rnacentral:miRNA from 1 species
AGGAGAGAUGAAAUCAGAACUA